CAUGGCUCAGGAUGAACGCUAGCGGCAGGCCUAAUACAUGCAAGUCGUACGGGAUAGACACUUCGGGUGUCUGAGAGUGGCGCACGGGUGCGCAACGCGUAUGCAACCAACCCCCCGACGGGCGGAUAGCCGGUGGAAACGCCGGAUAAUACGCCAUGGUUCCUGAGAGGGGCAUCCCUCUCAGGAUAAAGCAGUGAUGCGGUCGGGGACGGGCAUGCGUCCCAUUAGAUUGUAGGCGGGGUGACGGCCCACCUAGUCGACGAUGGGUAGGGGAUCUGAGAGGACGGUCCCCCACACUGGUACUGAGACACGGACCAGACUCCUGCGGGAGGCAGCAGUAAGGGAUAUUGGGCAAUGGUCGGAAGACUGACCCAGCCCAUGCCGCGUGAGGGAAUGAGGCCCUACGGGUCGUGAACCUCUUUUAUUCGGGGACAAGGACGGCGUCGAGAACGUUGUUUGAGGGUACCGAAGGAAUAAGCGUCGGCUAACUCCGUGCCAGCCGCCGC
rnacentral:rRNA from 1 species